UACGUAGGGUGCAAAGCGUUGUCCGGAAUUAUUGGGCGUAAAGAGCUCGUAGGCGGUUUGUCGCGUCUGCUGUGAAAAUCCAGGGCUUAACCCUGGACCUGCAGUGGGUACGGGCAGACUGGAGUGCGGUAGGGGAGAUCGGAAUUCCGGGUGUAGCGGUGGAAUGCGUAGAGAUCCGGAAGAACACCGGUGGCGAAGGCGGCUGCUGGGCCAGUGCUGACACUGAGGCGCGACAGCGAUGGGGA
rnacentral:rRNA from 1 species